rnacentral:rRNA from 1 species
GGACGGGUGAGUAACGCGUGGGUAACCUGCCUCAUACAGGGGGGAGUAACAGUUGGAAACGACUGCUAAUACCGCAUAAGCGCACAGGAUCGCAUGAUCUGGUGUGAAAAACUCCGGUGGUAUAAGAUGGACCCGCGUCUGAUUAGCUUGUUGGUGAGGUAACGGCCCACCAAGGCGACGAUCAGUAGCCGACCUGAGAGGGUGACCGGCCACAUUGGGACUGAGACACGGCCCAAACUCCUACGGGAGGCAGCAUG